rnacentral:misc_RNA from 1 species
AAGUCGUAACAAGGUUUCCGUAGGUGAACCUGCGGAAGGAUCAUUAGCGAAGCUCGUGAGUGUUGAUGCUGCCCGGCGACGGGACGUGCUCGCACUCGCUUCUCUAUCCACCCCACUGUGAACCAAGCGUGCGAGCCGAAGAGAGAUCGGAAGCUCGCAUGCAAACAUAUAUAACAUACCCCGAAUAGUAACAGAAUGUACCUUGCGUUAACUCGCACAAAUACAACUUUCAACAACGGAUCUCUUGGCUCUC